GGCUGGAUGGCCGAGUGGUCUAAGGCGCUAGAAUCAGGAUCUAGUCCGAAAGGGCGCGUGUUCGAAUCACGCUCCAGUCA
rfam:Rhizopogon vesiculosus strain AM-OR11-056 contig30057, whole genome shotgun sequence.